rnacentral:lncRNA from 1 species
GACAUUAUCAAAUUGGGUGCCAUCAAUACACUCAAAUAAGGUUAACUUUGGCCUUUCGACAAGUUAUCUCAUCACUUUUAGUAGACGUCUCAGCUGUCACAUUUUUUGUGAAAUGUAGUGCAUCUUACUUCCACCUGACUUAUGCAAAAGUAUAGAACCAAAAUUUAAAAUGAUAUCAUCAUCCAAUAGUAUUGACUUAACUUCAUCUUCCCUCAUGUUAAAAAGAAUAUUAUCAGUUUUAACACUAUGUUUACAGUUUCUAACAUGUUGCCAUAACUCAAGCAGUUGAUGCACGGUAAGUAGUCCUCUGCCACCUUUGUUUGACUGAAUCUUCGCAUUACGAUGAGUGUUCCUCUGCCAUCUGCUAGUGUUCUCAAGUUACGGUAGAAGUUUGCCAUGAGACAAAGUUUUUAACCCAAAGUUUCUAGAUUCGCCAGUUGAUGCUAAAAUUCAAAUGGCGUGCUAUUUUGCACUGUAAUUUGUGGCAGAAAUAGCACGCCUGUUUUUUGUUGUACACCCUCUUACCAUCAUUUCCCGCACAAUAAUUGGGCACAUUGAUUUCAGGAUACUUGGUCUGAUUCUGAGUUUGUAUUACAACUAUCAACAACUUCUUUCUGCAAAUCAGCAUUAUCUCUUGUAGAAACUUGUGGGUCGGGUCCAUAUGCUCAACAAUGGAAAAUUGUGGGGCGCUGAAUCACAUUGCGGCAUUAGAUCAGCAGUGUGUUCAUCAUGUUGUGAAAAAAUUGAAACAUGGCAUUGGUUAGAACAGAGUGCUAAAACGAGGUCUAUAGAGCUCUCUAAAAAGAGAGCUCAUUUUUAAGUUAUAUCAACUAAACGGAAAAUCCUAAAAUUUUAUGGUGUACCUAUAUUUUCAGUGGUAGCUUUGACAUAUACAUUUUCAUUCAAACAAACCAAGUUUUCAUUUAACACUAGCACUAUAUAACAGCUACAAAUACUGAAAGUUUGGUAGUGAUUGGAUAAGUAGUUUAUUAGUUAUGAAGUCACAACCAAUCCACAUUGCGUCAAAUUUUUACAAUUUAUUAAAUUAGCGUUAAUGUUUAAAAUUAAAUAUAAAAUGGUUUACCAUUAUUAUAGCGUCUUUUAAGACAUUUUAUUUUAUAUUAAUGGGCACCAUUCUUUUGUCAGUCCAGCCUUUUUUCACAGCUCUGAGGUGUUUUCUCCUCUUCUUUACUCUAUCCGAGAACUUUCGCUCUUCGCGUCGCACACGAUUGAUAUCGCCCAUGCUACAUGCUAAUGUUGUGAAAUGUCCUGGCUCAAUAUUGAGUUCUUUAAAUGUGUCCAAAAUACUUUUCAUGCCAUCAUUAAAAUAGGCAACUGCUUGGUAUGUUGCAGUUUCUAGAGUACGUCUCUGUACAAAUGUGUCCUUGUGGCAUCGUUGCCAAAUCAGAUUGUUCAGGCAAACUCGAAAUUGCAAAUAUACUACUAUUUAUUUUAAGAAAAUUCAUUCAGUCUUUACGACGAAAACAAUGUUUUUUGAGGCUAUAAAGAAAAAUUUGAUUUCCCCGCGAAGGAAAAAUUUAGCGUCCUGUUGUCAGGCAGUGCGUUGACGUUAUAUUUGAUUACUCCCUCUGUUGACGCGUGACGUAACCCGGAAGUAUCGAGUUAUUGGUAAUCACUAUGGAAUAUUAACAUACGUGCCCUAUCACCAGAUGAAAUUUUAAAUAAAAUAUGCUAAAAUUGAUUAUUAUCAAUCAUUAGUUACCUUGUAAGCAACUUCUUUUCUACAUCAUUAAGGCUUAGGAAUAUUUCUUGAUUAGCCUCCUUGCUCUGGUCUAUUUAGCAUUUUAAAUGCAUCUGUAACUUCCCCUCCUCUUAUUAUAACUGCCACAAACACAGCAUAGCUAACUUCAACCACAAGGAGGAGCAUGGGGCAUUCUGAGUGAACUUCUUUUCUUUAAGGGUUUUUAGUGCUAAGGAAGACACCC